ACGAUCAUGAGAAACAGAUUGAACGCUGGCGGGAUGCUUUACACAUGCAAGUCGAACGGCAGCACGGACUUCGGUCUGGUGGCGAGUGGCGAACGGGUGAGUAAUGUAUCGGAACGUGCCUAGUAGCGGGGGAUAACCAUGGCCGUAGCUAAUACCGCAUACGCCCUUCCAGGAAAGCGGGGGACCUUCGGGCCUCGCACUAUUAGAGCAGCCGAUAUCGGAUUGGCUAGUUGGUGGGGUAACGGCUCACCAAGGCGACGAUCCGUGGCUGGUUUGAGAGGACGACCAGCCACACUGGGACUGAGACACGGCCAGACUCCUACGGGAGGCAGCAGUGGGAAUUUUGGACAAUGGGAAACCCUGAUCCAGCCAUCCCGCGUGUGCGAUGAAGGCCUUCGGGUUGUAAAGCACUUUUGGCAGGAAAGAAACGGCUGGGAUAAUACCCCGUGCAACUGACAAUACCUGCAGAAUAAGCACCGGCUAACUACGUGCCAGCAGCACGGUAAUACGUAGGGUGCAAGCGUUAAUCGGAAUUACUGGGCAAGCGUGCGCAAUUGGUUCGAAGGUGCUGGAAAUCAGAGCUAACUUUUGGAACCGACUUAACUACUGGCCAAGAGUGGCGUCAGUGAGAUUCGCAGUGGCAGCAGUAAAUGCGUGGAACAUGCGGAACACCAGGCGCGGUAUUUCUGGGAUACACAACGCUAUGCACGACAGCCAGUGGGAGCAAACAGGGAUGGAACCACCCUGUUGGUCCGCCCACAAAACGAUGUCAACUGGCUGUUGGGGUUCGGCUGCAUGAUGGCCAUAACCAGCUUGCGUGAAGUUGACCGCCUGGGGAGGUACGGUCGCAAGAUUAAAACUCAAAGGAAUUGACGGGGACCCGCACAAGCGGUGGAUGAUGUGGAUUAAUUCGAUGCAACGCGAAAAACCUUACCUACCCUUGACAUGUCUGGAAUCCCGAAAGGGUUGGGAGUGCUCGCAAGAGAACCGGAACACAGGUGCUGCAUGGCUGUCGUCAGCUCUGUCGUGAGAUGUUGGGUUAAGUCUGGCAUGAGCGCAACCCUUGUCAUUAGUUGCUACGAAGGGCACUCUAAUGAGACUGCCGGUGACAAACCGGAGGAAAGGUGGGGAUGACGUCAAGUCCUCGCGGCCCUUAUGGGUAGGGCUGCGUCAUACAAUGGUCGGGACAGAGGGUCGCCAACCCGCGAGGGGAGCCAAUCCCAGAAACCCGAUCGUAGUCGGAUCGCAGUCUGCAACUCGACUGCGUGAAGUCGGAAUCGCUAGUAAUCGCGGAUCAGCAUGUCGCGGUGAAUACGUUCCCGGGUCUUGUACACACCGCCCCGUCACACCAUGGGAGUGGGUUUUACCAGAAGUAGUUAGCCUAACCGUAGGGAGGCGAUUACCACGGUAGGAUUCAUGGCUGGGGUGAAGUCGUAGCAAGGGCA
rnacentral:rRNA from 1 species